rnacentral:lncRNA from 1 species
UCGCACUCAAAUUUAUAAUAAGGACUGUUAUGCAUGCACCAUGUCACGUCAUGCCCCGUAAUAUUAUCUUUUAAUAUACAAAAUUAAUUAUUUUUAUUUAUUAUAUUUUCAGCUUUGUUAUUUCUCCUUUCUUCUUUCUUUUUCCAUUUCAUUCUCUUUUCUUUUACCCUGUUAUUGUUCUUCCCUUUAACUUCCUCCACAUUAUUAUUUUUUCCUGCGAUUAAUACAAAAGCGAAGAGGCCGACACCAAAAAACAUCUCUCAUUUUCCCACCUCAUUUUCCAUCUUUUUUACUCUUCUCUUUCUCCCCAACACUACAAAUAGACCCAUCGUCCCUCUUU